UACGGGGGGGCAAGCGUUGUUCGGAAUUACUGGGCGUAAAGGGCUCGUAGGCGGCCAACUAAGUCGGACGUGAAAUCCCUCGGCUCAACCGGGGAACUGCGUCCGAUACUGGAUGGCUUGAGAUUGGGAGAGGGAUGCGGAAUUCCAGGUGUAGCGGUGAAAUGCGUAGAUAUCUGGAGGAACACCGGUGGCGAAGGCGGCAUCCUGGACCAACACUGACGCUGAGGAGCGAAAGCCAGGGGAGCAAACGGGG
rnacentral:rRNA from 1 species